GGGGAAUCUUGGACAAUGGGCGCAAGCCUGAUCCAGCAAUGCCGCGUGGGUGAAGAAGGCCUUCGGGUUGUAAAGCCCUUUUGUUUGGGAGCAAAUCCUACUGGUUAAUACCUGGUGGGGAUGAGAGUACCAAAAGAAUAAGCACCGGCUAACUACGCGCCAGCAGCCGCGGUAAUACGUAGGGUGCAAGCGUUAAUCGGAAUUACUGGGCGUAAAGCGUGCGCAGGUGGUUUGACAAGACCGACGUGAAAGCCCCCGGGCUCAACCUGGGAACUGCGUUGGUGACUGUCUGACUAGAGUGUGGCAGAGGGGGGUGGAAUUCCGCGUGUAGCAGUGAAAUGCGUAGAGAUGCGGAGGAACACCGAUGGCGAAGGCAGCCCCCUGGGCUAACACUGACACUCAUGCACGAAAGCGUGGGGAGCAAAC
rnacentral:rRNA from 1 species